UGAGGAAUAUUGGUCAAUGGGCGAGAGCCUGAACCAGCCAAGUAGCGUGCAGGAAGACGGCCCUAUGGGUCGUAAACUGCUUUUAUACGGGGAUAAAGUGGGCCACGUGUGGCUUAUUGCAGGUACCGUAUGAAUAAGGACCGGCUAAUUCCGUGCCAGCAGCCGCGGUAAUACGGAAGGUCCGGGCGUUAUCCGGAUUUAUUGGGUUUAAAGGGAGCGUAGGCCGUCUGUUAAGCGUGUUGUGAAAUGUCGGGGCUCAACCUGGGCACUGCAGCGCGAACUGGAUGACUUGAGUUCGCGGGAGGUAGGCGGAAUUCGUGGUGUAGCGGUGAAAUGCUUAGAUAUCACGAAGAACUCCGAUUGCGAAGGCAGCUUACCGUAGCGUUACUGACGCUGAAGCUCGAAAGUGCGGGUAUCGAACAGGAUUAGAUACCCUGGUAGU
rnacentral:rRNA from 1 species